GACGAACGCUGGCGGCGUGCCUAACACAUGCAAGUCGAACGGAAAGGCCCUGCUCUUGCUGGUCUCUCGUUUGCCGAACGCGUGUGUAUCACGCGUGUAUCCCCUCCCUGUCUUUCUGAUAUCUCUUGGAAACUGCGGCUCUUAUCCCAUAGAAUCUCUUGCUCCGCGUUGUUCGUUGGUAAGAGUCGGUUGUUGGGGCUGGACUCGCGGGUUAUGCGCUUGUUUGUGGGGUAGUGGCUUACCAAGGUUAUGACGGGUAGCCGGCCUGAGAGGGUGACCGGCCACAUUGGGACUGAGAUACGGACCAGACUCCUACGGGAGGCAGCAGUGGGGAAUAUUGCACAAUGGGCGGAAGCCUGAUGCAGCAACGCCGCGUGCGGGAUGACGGCCUUCGGGUUGUAAACCGCUUUCGCCUGUGACGAAGCGUGAGUGACGGUAAUGGGUAAAGAAGCACCGGCUAACUACGUG
rnacentral:rRNA from 1 species